GUACCGUACAAACGUUUAUUCGGAAUCACUGGGCUUAAAGGGUGCGUAGGCGGUGCGGUCAGUUGGGUGUGAAAUCCCUCGGCUCAACCGAGGAACUGCGCCCAAUACUGCCGCACUCGAGGGAGACAGAGGUAAGCGGAACUGAUGGUGGAGCGGUGAAAUGCGUUGAUAUCAUCAGGAACACCAGUAGCGAAGGCGGCUUACUGGGUCUCUUCUGACGCUGAGGCACGAAAGCUAGGGUAGCGAACGGGGGAUUAGAUACCCCGGUAGUCCUAGCUGUAAACGAUGAGCACUUGGUCGGAGACUCCUCCAUAGGUUUCCGGUCGUAGCGAAAGUGUUAAGUGCUCCGCCUGGGGAGUAUGGUCGCAAGGCUG
rnacentral:rRNA from 1 species